ACCGAGUUGAAGUGCCUGCGUGGUGUCCACACAGAUUGUCUGAUGAUAAGAAAGAGUCAAAAGCGUCUUGCGAAGCUGACAAGUGAUGUCCCCUUCGUCUAGAGGCCCAGGACACCGCCCUUUCACGGCGGUAACAGGGGUUCGAAUCCCCUAGGGGACGCCAAUAUGACUGACGGUGGGUGAAAGGCACGGUCAACGCUAACCUAAAACUGAUUAGUCAUAGUCAGGUUUAUGUUAUCUGCUCUUUAACAAUCCGGAACAAGCUGAAUAAUUUGAAACGACGGCAUGCGAAUGUGAAUUUGCGUGCUGGUCGAGUCUC
rnacentral:misc_RNA from 1 species